GCAUUAAAUUUUUCCGUUAAAAAGUUCGAUUGGAAUUUUGCCGAGGACGACCGGGCCGCCCCCUGGGGAGGAUCCGGAUCUUCCUGUGCAUCUUCUUGGAGGAAGGUGGCGCCCUUUAUUGUGGGGUGCGGUAACUGGAUUUUUCUUUUGAGGAAUUUAAAGUGUUCAAGGAAGGCGCACGCCUCGCAUAAAUUAACAUGGAAAAAUGCAAUACGACCCUCGUUCCAUUUUGUUGGUUUCCAUGGACCGAGGUAAUGGAGAAAGAGAUUGUGGGGGGCAUUUUAUUUUCUGUCACAAGAGAUUCUUUGAUUUUUCAAAACAAGCACUAGCGAAAGAAUUUUUCCCAGAUAUGUUUUUUUUGCAAAAAAAAAAGAGAUGGGAGAUAAAACACUAUCAGAUACCGCCAUACUUAUAACCAUAAACUAUGCCGACAGGAUAUGGGGGGUCGUUCAUGUUCUAACCCCUCCCCCUGCAGGAGAAAAAAAAUCUUUGGGUUCUGGGGAGAGUAUGGUCGCGAGGCUAAACUUAAGGAAUUGACGGAGAGGCCCCACCAGGAGUGGAGCCUGCGGCUUAAUUUUGACUCCACACGGGAAAACUUACCACGUCCCGACAUAGGAAGGAUUGGACCGAUUGAAAGCUCUUUUUUUGUUUCUCUGGGGGGGGGGGGCAUGGGGCGGUUCUUAGUUGGGGGGGAGAGAUCUUGUCUGGUUAAUUUCCUUAACGAAAAAAACAUCAUCCCCCUAAAAAAGUGCUACGCCCCUUAUCGCCGCAGGGGCGACCUCCUACGGGGACCUAUGUGCCUCUGACUGCACGAAGCAAGGUGGAAAUAAAUAGGCCGGUCA
rnacentral:rRNA from 1 species